UUUAUAUUAGAAGUUGGUGUAAAGAUCAAAAAAUCUUUAUGGUAUUUUGGGACAAGAAGACCCUCUCAAUUUGUUAAAAGUGUUUUAGUUAAAUUUAGUUAAAAUAUUUUGAUUGGUUGGGGCGAUCUUUUAAGAUUGCGAAUCUUAAAAGAAAGUUUAAUAGAUCCAUUUAAUAGUGAGGAUUUGAAUAAAAUACUCUAGGGAUAACAGCGUAAUAA
rnacentral:rRNA from 1 species